AUACUUACCUGGCAGGGGAGAUACCAUGAUCACGAAGGUGGUUUUCCCAGGGCGAGGCUUAUCCAUUGCACUCCGGAUGUGCUGACCCCUGCGAUUUCCCCAAAUGUGGGAAACUCGACUGCAUAAUUUGUGGUAGUGGGGGACUGUGUUCACGCUCUCCCCUG
ensembl:snRNA U1 U1 spliceosomal RNA